rnacentral:rRNA from 1 species
UACGUAGGGGGCUAGCGUUGUCCGGAAUCAUUGGGCGUAAAGCGCGUGUAGGCGGUCCGGUAAGUCCGCUGUGAAAGUCGAGGGCUCAACCCUCGAAUGCUGGUGGAUACUGUCGGGCUUGAGUACGGGAGAGGCGAGUGGAAUUCCUGGUGUAGCGGUGAAAUGCGCAGAUAUCAGGAAGAACACCCGUGGCGAAGGCGGCUCUCUGGGACGGUACUGACGCUGAGACGCGAAAGCGUGGGGAGCGAACAGG